CUGUGACUUGAGCAAAUUAAGAUGGAAAAAGGAUGGAUGCAUGCUGAUAGGAGAUCGUUGAGUGGUUAGUUUUAUGUACUUCAUUGUAUAUUUCACCUUCGAUUACCUUAAUUCUUUAUUUUCAGGGUAUUCCGGAGCAAAAAAAUGACAAGACUUGUGGAUAUUUCAUUAUGCGUUACAUGAAAGAAAUUGUGGAGGACAAGAACUUGGAUUUUAGU